AUUGAACGCUGGCGGCAGGCCUAACACAUGCAAGUCGAGCGGAUGAAGGGAGCUUGCUCCUGGAUUCAGCGGCGGACGGGUGAGUAAUGCCUAGGAAUCUGCCUGGUAGUGGGGGAUAACGUCCGGAAACGGGCGCUAAUACCGCAUACGUCCUGAGGGAGAAAGUGGGGGAUCUUCGGACCUCACGCUAUCAUAUGAGCCUAGGUCGGAUUAGCUAGUUGGUGGGGUAGAGGCCUACCAAGGCGACGAUCCGUAACUGGUCUGAGAGGAUGAUCAGUCACACUGGAACUGAGACACGGUCCAGACUCCUACGGGAGGCAGCAGUGGGGAAUAUUGGACAAAGGGCGAAAGCCUGAUCCAGCCAUGCCGCGUGUGUGAAGAAGGUCUUCGGAUUGUAAAGCACUUUAAGUUGGGAGGAAGGGCAGUAAGUUAAUACCUUGCUGUUUUGACGUUACCAACAGAAUAAGCACCGGCUAACUUCGUG
rnacentral:rRNA from 1 species